AGGCGGCGAGGAAGACUGACGACGACGAGGGGCCUAGCCGCCGAAGCCGUAGAGGGUGCGUCCCUGGCGCUUGAGCGCGUAGACGACGUCCAUGGCGGUGACGGUCUUGCGGCGGGCGUGCUCGGUGUAGGUGACGGCGUCGCGGAUGACGUUCUCGAGGAAGAUCUUGAGGACGCCGCGGGUCUCCUCGUAGAUGAGGCCGGAGAUGCGCUUCACGCCGCCCCUCCUCGCCAGGCGACGGAUGGCCGGCUUGGUGAUGCCCUGGAUGUUGUCGCGCAGCACCUUCCGGUGGCGCUUGGCGCCGCCCUUGCCCAGACCCUUGCCUCCCUUGCCGCGCCCGGACAUGGCUGACGAUCUCUCCCUGGUUCCAGCUGCGAGCGGAUGGAGGUGGAGGAGCAGUGGUGAAUUGUGUUGUGAUUAGACCGAAGUGGGGAGGGGAUUUUAAGGGGGGGUGCGAGAGGUGGGAGGAGGUGUGUCCCUGCCGUUCGAUCCCGAUGGAAUUCGCGGUCGAGAUCGCGAUCCGGGGAGAGAUGCCGCGGAUCAGUGACGUGGCGGAAAGCUCGGACCUGUGGAUUCGCGGGCUGGGUCCAGAGGUUUCGCGGCUGCUCCCAAAUUUUGGGCUACGGCGGCUGGAUUUUGGGUUCAGAUAUGCAACAGUGCAAAUCAGAUAUUAUACGAAGUAUUCCUAAAGGAAAAUUACAUGGAGUGAAGAAGGGCAUUUUUUUUUUCUGAGAGAGAGACGUUUCGGCUUCUAGGCUCAGAUGAACUCGGAAGUGAAAAAAGAAUGUUAAAAAUACUAAAUAAAACCAAUAAUUGUGGAUAAAAAUGACUCGGUGGUGCAUGAGGAUCGUGUCAAAUUUUAGUGUCUGAGUAGCUUUCAAUAAAAAAGACAAAAUUAAGAUCUCUAAAAGAUUUUAUUGUUUGUGUACUGUUUGGACCUGCGUUUGCUUUUUUCUGAGAGUUACUCCGAUGUCCAAAUGCUUUGGAAUUUGACACGCGCUAAAAUAUAUUCCACGCAAAAAAAGUUUGGAAUUUGUUGAAUUUUUGGUAUUUCUUUUGAUUUUAUUAUUCAAUGGACGCAGAUGAGCCCGGCUCAAAAUUGAAUAUCCGAUUCUUUCCUGAGUUUAAGUCGCUAUAUAAUUUUAAGGCUGCAGCGCACAUGCGCAAAUGCAAAGUUGUCAUAGUUUCGUCUUUAUUUUUUCACAAAAUUUUAAAAAUGUACUUUUAGAAAAUAUUGUUCAUGAAUUUUAUGAAAUAAUUAAUUAACUUUAAAAGGUUCUUCAAUAUGAUAAUUUGUCAUGAGUUUGAAAAUGUUCACAUAUUUAAAAAUGUUUACGAUUUUAAAAAACGUGAAUAUAAAAUAUAAUCAAAAAAUAUAAAUAUUAUUAACUUGAGAAUUUGUCAUGAGUUUGAAACAUGUUCACAUAUCUGCAAAAAUAUGGAUUUGAGAAUUUGCAUGGAUGCAAAAAUAUUCAUGGUUUGCAAAACUCAAAAUAGCAGGGAAAAAUAAAAAAUAAAAAUAAAAAUAAAAACCAAACAAGACCUGGUCUAGAAAAAUACAUAAACCCAACCUAUAAAAACCAAAGCAAUAAUAUUUUAGAAGAUUCCCAAAACCAGUGAGGGAAAACAAAAAAACGGGGCCCUCCCACUAGAACUAAUAAAAGCACGCUUGUCGGCAGCACAUACGAAAAUGCAUCUAGCUCGUGUGCACAGGGGGGCAUUAUUACAAAAAAAUAGACAAAACUCGCAGGCUUUACCAAACCGAGUUAACCUUUACACCAAAAAAAAACUAAUUUACCGGGCAGGCCUAACCAAACAUGGUGUCCAUACCCAAGUGAAAACGCAUGUCUAGCGAGUUUGUGAGCCUCGAUAUUCGAGCUCUCAAAUUAAUAAAUAAAAUUACAAGCAGUGUAAGCACGAGAUCAGUCAAUGAUUUCCGUUGUAAUAGUUGAUGGUAUAUAUCCAGAGUGGGCUGUCUUCAUGAAGACCAUACCACUUUCCCAAUCACAGAAACAUAAGUUAUUUGCCAAGCACCAAGAAGGGCAAGGAAAGAUGUGGAGCAUGCUUUUGGGGUAUUGCAGUCCCGCUUUACCAUUCUUCGCCGGCCUGCACGGCUGUGGCAGAGAAAGAGUGUUGGAAGGAUCAUGUGAGCAUGUGUGAUUCUUCACAAUAUGAUAGUCGAAGAUGAAAGAGAUCAGGUUAACGUUCAUAUUGACUUGAAUGAGAUUACGGAGGCUUCAUUUGCUCUACCUCUUGAAGUGAAUGUUGGUGGUAAUCUUUGUUUUGUUGAUGUACUGCGUAGAAAAGCUACCAUCCGUGCUCCUUCACAACAUAGCCAGCUUAAAAAUGAUUUGGUCGAGCAUAUUUGGAGUAGGUCUCGAAAUAAUCAUCAUAAUUAGUCAUGGUGGGAUAUUGAUAUUUGCAUGUUACUGUUCUUUUUUUCUUCCUGUAACAUUGAGGAUCAACAUUAUAUCUUACGUGUAUUUUAUUCCAGGACAAUCCUAUAAUAUGGUGUUUGUUGGAGUGCCGGGAGGUUGUAGUGACCAUCGAGAUCAAAAUAAAUGGGUGGUUUGCGAGAGAUCUUACCCAUGUUUGGUUUAUGCUUUUUUAUGAAGACUCGGGUAAUGUUUAAGUGUCAUGUCAUGCUGCUAUGUGCCAUCAGUUUGGUGAUUAUUCUCGUCCAGGUCAAAAUGAACGGCUUGUUGUUGGACGUGUUAUUUUUUUAUGUUUGGUUAAUGCUUCCCUAUACAGACUUAAGUAUUGCUUAACUGUAUUGUCAUGGUCUUGUGCACAUUUGUUUGAUGCUGCUUAUUAAUUUGGUUGAAUGUCAUAUUUGUAUCCUGGUUGAGAAAUGAGAUGGCCACAAAGAUGCAUCUUACAUUAAAUCACAGUAGGUGAUAUGCACAGUAUUUAUUACAAUCAGUUCUGUAGUCAACCUAAAAGCUAGCCUAUUGUAUGUGUGAAGGCUUUAUGUGAUGUGGCAAUAGUUAUAGCCAGCAGGCGGCUGUGCUAUUAACCAUGCUCUUAAUACUAUAGCCAACUGUUGGCUAUAAGUCAUCUUAUAGCUAGCUUGUGCAAUAGUUAGGAAAAUUAAAUGGAGUGAAGAAGGAGUGGAGCGUUCCGGCGCCCAGACUCAUCUGCAUCCGGUUAGAAAAAAAUUAAAACGAAUACUAAAAAAAUUCAGAAAAAUCUAAAUUUGUUGAGGGUGAUAGAUAAUUUGAUGCAUGAGGUCCGCGCUAAUUUCUAUAUUAUUUGAACAUCUGAACAGUUUUCAGGAAAAAAAAAGAGACAAAAUAAGGUUAAAACAGUACGUGAACAGUAAACUUUUUCGGGAUUUCGAAUUUGUCUUUUCUGCCGAGAUCCGUUUAGAUGUUCAAAUGAUUCAAAAACUAAAACAGACCUCACGAAUCAAAUUAUCUACCAUACAAAAAAUAAUUAGAAUUCUUGAAUUUUUAGUAUUUGUUUUGAUUUUUCUAUUCUGUAUGGGUGCAGAUAAGCCCAACCUACAAAAACCAAAGCAAUAUUCUGCUUCCUCCGCUUCCUAAAUAUAAGACCUUUUAGAGAUUUUAGAGAUUACAUUAUAAACUACAUACCGAGCAAAAUGAGUGAAUCUAGACUUUAAAAUAUGUCUAUGUACAUCUGUAUGUAGUUUACAGUGCAAUCUUUAAAAGGUCUUAUAUUUAGGAACGGAGGGAGUACAAGAUUCAUAAAACCAGUCAGGCGAAUAAAAAAAACAUGGCCCCACCCAUUAUUACAACUAACAAGAGUGGGAUGUGGGCGGGACGUAAAAAAAUGCCUAAAAUUAACAUCUUAAGCUCUGAAUAGUGUAUUUCGGCCUCGAUGGCCCGGAAGUGCGCCUCGACGGCGGCUCUAAGAAGCUGCUGCAUUUCCGCAUCUGUCUGCGCAGCCUCCUCCAGGGCCUUAUUCAUGCAUGGACAAUAGCGUCGAGGGGACCUGUCAACUUUUUGACUUAUAAAUACAAUAUUUCAUCUUUUUUAAAAUACAGGUGGUAAAAUAAUUCAGUAUCCCUAAAACCCGGUCUCUAAACCGACGUUCUAAUCCUCAAGAUUAAAUGCACUACAAUCCACAUCCGAGCACUCUCGUGUUCUGUUUGAUUGAUGACAGCAAUCUAAAGUUCAGAGCUGUUGUGGUGUCAGGUGUGUACACCUUGGAAAGCAUGGUUGCGCUAGAUUCGUGAAUCGAGUAAACACAAUACGAAAGUACUUGGUACUCCUUUUCUCCACCUAUUAAAUUUCAGUCAUCCGGUUGCCCAUACUUGAUAGUUGUUUUUUUUAGAACUUUCUCCACCAUUAUAAUUGUGCAUAAGUUUAGCAAGAGUGCCAAAUUUUGUUAGUAUUUAUUUAAUUAUUUUUCAUAAUUAGAAGACCUUUCUAUUGUGCAUUUCUGCACUUGUGGGUGUGUCUUGCCUUCAGUUUUUUAUCGAGUCAUCUCCUUGUAUCAAAAUAUUUGGUUUCAUAUAGGUGUUCCUGAGAUUAUUCAUGUGGGAGGGUGGCCAAACCUGUAGGUAUCAAAGAAAGAAUGUAUUGAAAUAUUGUGAUGUGUCUGUGGAAUUUUGUCUAUCGAAAUGACAAUGAUUGUCUUCAGUUAUCUACAACCGGCAGACUUCUUUUCUUUUUCUUCUUAUAUCUGGACGGCAUAUAUCAAGCCCAGAAAACGGUAAGUCGCCAAUUCAUUGUGCAUGUGAAUUCAACUUGGUAUACUUGCUGCAUUGCUGUAGCAUGUCCUCCAAUGAUGGAUUACUUUUCCUUCAUCCGAACCGUUCCUGAGAACUGAAGAUAAUCGACAAUUAACUUGCUCGAAUGCAAUGCACCAUUGCUAUUCUCAUUUUUCAUCGCUUACUGGAGUUCACUUUUUUAGGACUCAAGGAUUCACAGGUUAUUGCUCACAACUGUUUUUAGAUCUUCUAAUUCAGACUUUUGCAGGCUCCUAUGAAAGCACAUCAAGCACAGAGGGAAUAGCGAACUGAACAAGUCGAGGUUUGACCAAUCUUUUCUAAUCUGCAGGGAGCGACGAAGAACCAACAAUCGUACAUAACAGAGAUGCAGCAGACCAACUAGCAAGACAAAAUCACAAGCACUAUAUUUGGAGAGACAAGUUUGAUUUCCAACGACAGAAGCGAAUAUCUUUGUUGCACGAUUCAGUUCGAAGUACAGAGGAAACAGAGAACUACACAAGUCGCGGCCUCAUCAAGCAAUCGGAGUCUGCAGGAAGACUGAUGACCACCAGCGGGCCUAGCCGCCGAAUCCGUAGAGGGUGCGUCCCUGGCGCUUGAGCGCGUAGACGACGUCCAUGGCGGUGACGGUCUUGCGGCGGGCGUGCUCGGUGUAGGUGACGGCGUCGCGGAUGACGUUCUCGAGGAAGAUCUUGAGCACGCCGCGGGUCUCCUCGUAGAUGAGACCGGAGAUGCGCUUCACGCCGCCCCUCCUCGCCAGGCGACGGAUGGCAGGCUUGGUGAUGCCCUGGAUGUUGUCGCGCAGCACCUUCCGGUGGCGCUUGGCGCCGCCCUUGCC
rnacentral:lncRNA from 1 species